GCAGUUGUGGCCUACUGGUUAGCGCUUCGGACUUGAAACCAGAGGGUUGCCGGUUCGAACCCCGACCAGCUGAA
rnacentral:tRNA from 1 species